rnacentral:rRNA from 1 species
UACUUAUUUCAUUGACGUAAUUAAUUAGUUAUACCAAUCUAACUACAUAUGGUAGUCCACACGCAUUGUGCUUUUAAGUUAACCUUGCUAAACUUUUAACAAGCCAAACAGGGCUAACUUUCUUACUAAGCCUACCCUUAGUUAAGGUACCCACCCACAACACCAAUGUAUUAUCUUAUAAUAUAGCUAGGCAACUAGGCCAUAGAAAACAAGUAACUACAGUGGCAAAAAUGGUGCCAGCAGUCGCGGUUAUACCAUUCACUUAAAACUAAUUUUCCACAAAUCAAAGAUACAACUCAUCUUAUAGACCACAAAACUAACUUAUAGUGUAAAAAGCAUAUUGUAACCAAACCCAUACAAGUCUUAUAAAUACCGUAUCUUAACAAACCACAACAUCAAAACUCGGAUUAGAUACCCGACUAUUGUGUGGCUCAACAACUAAAAGAAUACUACGAGCGAAAGCUUAAACCUCAAACAAUGUGGCGGUGCUUUAUUCCUUAUCAGGGGAUCCUGUAACUUAAUUCGAUAAUCCACGAUAAAUCAAAGCUUUUUUAGUGACUCAGCUUGUGUAUGGCCGUUUAAGCUUGCUCAAAGAAGAUAUAAAAGGAAGCAAUAGGGUUUCUAAUCCCACUAAUUCAGGUGACAUACAGCCUAUAAAAAGCAGACCUAUGGGAUACAAAUAAAUACACUACCCAAUCUGAAUCAUAACUUAUCAGUAAAGGAGGACUUGAAAGUAAGGCUUCACAAUUUUCAUAAUAUAAGCCUGAACAAGAACUAAAGCGCGCACAAAUCGCCCGUCACUCCGGUGCCUAAAAUCGGAUAAGUCGUAACAUAGUAGGGGUAAUGGAAAUUGCCCCUAUUUUAUC